rnacentral:rRNA from 1 species
UUAAGCGACUAAGCGUACACGGUGGAUGCCCUGGCAGUCAGAGGCGAUGAAGGACGUGCUAAUCUGCGAUAAGCGUCGGUAAGGUGAUAUGAACCGUUAUAACCGGCGAUUUCCGAAUGGGGAAACCCAGUGUGAUUCGUCACACUAUCAUUAACUGAAUCCAUAGGUUAAUGAGGCGAACCGGGGGAACUGAAACAUCUAAGUACCCCGAGGAAAAGAAAUCAACCGAGAUUCCCCCAGUAGCGGCGAGCGAACGGGGAGGAGCCCAGAGCCUGAAUCAGUGUGUGUGUUAGUGGAAGCGUCUGGAAAGGCGCGCGAUACAGGGUGACAGCCCCGUACACAAAAAUGCACAUGCUGUGAGCUCGAUGAGUAGGGCGGGACACGUGGUAUCCUGUCUGAAUAUGGGGGGACCAUCCUCCAAGGCUAAAUACUCCUGACUGACCGAUAGUGAACCAGUACCGUGAGGGAAAGGCGAAAAGAACCCCGGCGAGGGGAGUGAAAAAGAACCUGAAACCGUGUACGUACAAGCAGUGGGAGCACGCUUAGGCGUGUGACUGCGUACCUUUUGUAUAAUGGGUCAGCGACUUAUAUUCUGUAGCAAGGUUAACCGAAUAGGGGAGCCGAAGGGAAACCGAGUCUUAACUGGGCGUUAAGUUGCAGGGUAUAGACCCGAAACCCGGUGAUCUAGCCAUGGGCAGGUUGAAGGUUGGGUAACACUAACUGGAGGACCGAACCGACUAAUGUUGAAAAAUUAGCGGAUGACUUGUGGCUGGGGGUGAAAGGCCAAUCAAACCGGGAGAUAGCUGGUUCUCCCCGAAAGCUAUUUAGGUAGCGCCUCGUGAAUUCAUCUCCGGGGGUAGAGCACUGUUUCGGCAAGGGGGUCAUCCCGACUUACCAACCCGAUGCAAACUGCGAAUACCGGAGAAUGUUAUCACGGGAGACACACGGCGGGUGCUAACGUCCGUCGUGAAGAGGGAAACAACCCAGACCGCCAGCUAAGGUCCCAAAGUCAUGGUUAAGUGGGAAACGAUGUGGGAAGGCCCAGACAGCCAGGAUGUUGGCUUAGAAGCAGCCAUCAUUUAAAGAAAGCGUAAUAGCUCACUGGUCGAGUCGGCCUGCGCGGAAGAUGUAACGGGGCUAAACCAUGCACCGAAGCUGCGGCAGCGACGCUUAUGCGUUGUUGGGUAGGGGAGCGUUCUGUAAGCCUGUGAAGGUGUGCUGUGAGGCAUGCUGGAGGUAUCAGAAGUGCGAAUGCUGACAUAAGUAACGAUAAAGCGGGUGAAAAGCCCGCUCGCCGGAAGACCAAGGGUUCCUGUCCAACGUUAAUCGGGGCAGGGUGAGUCGACCCCUAAGGCGAGGCCGAAAGGCGUAGUCGAUGGGAAACAGGUUAAUAUUCCUGUACUUGGUGUUACUGCGAAGGGGGGACGGAGAAGGCUAUGUUGGCCGGGCGACGGUUGUCCCGGUUUAAGCGUGUAGGCUGGUUUUCCAGGCAAAUCCGGAAAAUCAAGGCUGAGGCGUGAUGACGAGGCACUACGGUGCUGAAGCAACAAAUGCCCUGCUUCCAGGAAAAGCCUCUAAGCAUCAGGUAACAUCAAAUCGUACCCCAAACCGACACAGGUGGUCAGGUAGAGAAUACCAAGGCGCUUGAGAGAACUCGGGUGAAGGAACUAGGCAAAAUGGUGCCGUAACUUCGGGAGAAGGCACGCUGAUAUGUAGGUGAAGUCCCUCGCGGAUGGAGCUGAAAUCAGUCGAAGAUACCAGCUGGCUGCAACUGUUUAUUAAAAACACAGCACUGUGCAAACACGAAAGUGGACGUAUACGGUGUGACGCCUGCCCGGUGCCGGAAGGUUAAUUGAUGGGGUCAGCGCAAGCGAAGCUCUUGAUCGAAGCCCCGGUAAACGGCGGCCGUAACUAUAACGGUCCUAAGGUAGCGAAAUUCCUUGUCGGGUAAGUUCCGACCUGCACGAAUGGCGUAAUGAUGGCCAGGCUGUCUCCACCCGAGACUCAGUGAAAUUGAACUCGCUGUGAAGAUGCAGUGUACCCGCGGCAAGACGGAAAGACCCCGUGAACCUUUACUAUAGCUUGACACUGAACAUUGAGCCUUGAUGUGUAGGAUAGGUGGGAGGCUUUGAAGUGUGGACGCCAGUCUGCAUGGAGCCGACCUUGAAAUACCACCCUUUAAUGUUUGAUGUUCUAACGUUGACCCGUAAUCCGGGUUGCGGACAGUGUCUGGUGGGUAGUUUGACUGGGGCGGUCUCCUCCUAAAGAGUAACGGAGGAGCACGAAGGUUGGCUAAUCCUGGUCGGACAUCAGGAGGUUAGUGCAAUGGCAUAAGCCAGCUUGACUGCGAGCGUGACGGCGCGAGCAGGUGCGAAAGCAGGUCAUAGUGAUCCGGUGGUUCUGAAUGGAAGGGCCAUCGCUCAACGGAUAAAAGGUACUCCGGGGAUAACAGGCUGAUACCGCCCAAGAGUUCAUAUCGACGGCGGUGUUUGGCACCUCGAUGUCGGCUCAUCACAUCCUGGGGCUGAAGUAGGUCCCAAGGGUAUGGCUGUUCGCCAUUUAAAGUGGUACGCGAGCUGGGUUUAGAACGUCGUGAGACAGUUCGGUCCCUAUCUGCCGUGGGCGCUGGAGAACUGAGGGGGGCUGCUCCUAGUACGAGAGGACCGGAGUGGACGCAUCACUGGUGUUCGGGUUGUCAUGCCAAUGGCACUGCCCGGUAGCUAAAUGCGGAAGAGAUAAGUGCUGAAAGCAUCUAAGCACGAAACUUGCCCCGAGAUGAGUUCUCCCUGACUCCUUGAGAGUCCUGAAGGAACGUUGAAGACGACGACGUUGAUAGGCCGGGUGUGUAAGCGCAGCGAUGCGUUGAGCUAACCGGUACUAAUGAACCGUGAGGCUUAACCUU